ensembl:lncRNA
AGAGGCCAAGGUGCUGAUGCACCAAAUUAACACGGCACCCAGGUGCUGACAUGUUACUUCCAGCUCCCUGUCAGCCUUUGCCUUUCCCCCACGUGGGUUUUGGCAAUGAGGACACUACUGUCUCAGGGCUGAGAGCUGCUGCUGUGCUGACACGUUUGCUGGAGCUGGGAGUAAAGUUUUCGUUUUCCCAAGCAGGGAGCAUCAGCUGUACUUUCUUGGGUAUCCCAGUCCUUGACUUCCUGGAAGAGCAAUUAAUGCAUAUCCCUAUUGGAUUGAAAAUGUAAUCUUGGGUUACAAAGCAUGGAAGCUUCUUGCUAUCAACAGCAAUUUCUUGGAAAGGAAGCAAAAUGCAUUGCUUGCCAAUGUUCUCUGGCACUUGAAUCCACAGAGGCCAAGUGCUGAUCUCAGAUGAGACCUGAAAAGAGGGAAACAGCUGCUCCAAGCAUCCAGACCGCCCUCAGACACAUAUUGUGACUUCUGCUGAUUUGGGUUGGAGCUACGUUUCUGUACCUGGAAGAAGAUUCUGGCCAAGCACAAGCCUGAAUGCCAUGCUUUUCUGCCCAUUGUGCUCAGAUUACAAUUAGCAAAAAGAUUCUGAGGCAGAGGAGGGGAAAACUACCAAUGGGAGGAUAUGCCUAGCACAUAAAUCCCAGCACAUUGAAACACUAAUCUGUGACUCCUGCUUUCUUCUUAACCAGCCUCUGCAUAGAGUUCACUCAAUCCUGAAUUUGCUGAACUGUUCAGCUGAUGUCUACCCUGAAGUAAUGAAUUGGCAGGCCUAUUUCUAACAGUGAUUAAUGAAGCUUUUCAGAGGCAACCCAUUAUUUGAUACAAAGUUAAAACAGUGGUUCAUCAUUAAUCACUACAAGACAUAGGCUCACAGAUUCAUAAUUCUCAGCAAGCCCAUUUCAUUAAGGGUUCCACUCUUUCUUUUGUUAACCCAGGGCUCCCCUACCUUCCCACCCUCAUGGGUGCCUUUCUGGUGCUCCAUUUCUUGCUUUGUUUGAAUGAAGUCACACACUCUAGGGGAUGUUUUUCCGAUUCUGCAGCCUUUCCAAAACUGUUUUACUUUCUUUUAGAUUUCAAAAGUUCCUAUUCCCAUAGAAAAAUUUCUCCAAUUAUCAAAUAUGAGCCAACAUUGGCACCCAGUGGCUGAACAGAUUAAUCACAGAUACAUAUUCCCUGGAGCCCACCUUUUCUAUUCUUCAGGCAAUUCUUCCCCAUAGGUACUUUCACUGCUAUUACACAGUGUUGCAAUUCUUGGCCAUCUUGUCAUGGCCACUUGGUCAUAGCUGUGAACUAGUUAAGGUAGGGAAAGAGAAGGAAAGCCCAUAUUUUGCCUCUCUCACCCCUCUGUCAGGGCCCAUUGAAGACAAUCCAUUUAAGUCACCCAAUGGUGCAAACAUCACUGACUUGCAUAGGACAUGUAGCUCUAUUCUGACUCCCAUGAGGCUGUAGCACCCAUACAAUGCUGUUCAGCACCCUGCAGACAUAGCAGCUCUGGACCUACAGUUUUCACCUGCUAAGAGAAGGGCUGCUCCUCAGCUCACAAAUCCUGCCCCAAUUUCAAGAAACUCAUACUGGUGUGACCGGUGGCAUCAGGAAAAGUCAUAUCAAGCAGAUGCUUCUUGGGAUUGAAAUCCCUACGCGCACACAGAAUUUCAUUGGCUCACAAAACUGAAUACAUCUAUAUAUGAAAAGGAAAGAAUAAAUUUGAGAAAUUACAUUCCA